rfam:Asian citrus Psyllid, Diaphorina citri - Florida Strain, whole genome shotgun sequence.
GCCUCGGUGGCGUAGUGGUUAAGGGGCUUGGCUGGUAAUCGGGAGGACGUGGGUUCAAUCCCAGCCGAGGUA